rnacentral:tRNA from 3 species
GGCUCCGUGGCGCAACUGAAUAGCGCAUCAGAUUUCGGCUCUGAGGGUUGGGGGUUUGAAUCCCUCCGGGGUCACUA